ensembl:ncRNA lncRNA:CR45687 long non-coding RNA:CR45687
GUUUUAUGGCGGGCCAGCACAAAUGUGUUACAUAAACAACUAACUUAAAUGAGCGUAUCAGCUCGGGCGAUAUUACAAAUGACUUGUAAUCGCGGCGCUUCCCCGCCCAGAGACCCUCCAUCGCCAUCCAUUGUCCUCUGUCGCUUAUCUGCGUGGCUGCCAAUUGCCAUUCCUAAUAAAGACAAAUGAACCCGCACUCAUUCCAACCAAUCCACUCCGAUCCGAAGUCAUUGAGUUGGGUUAUUGGCUGUGACUUUUGCGGCCGAUUGCCCGCGAAUCGGAGCUGCGUUCUGCCAUAUGGGUACAUGUG